UACGUAGGGUGCAAGCGUUAAUCGGAAUUACUGGGCGUAAAGCGUGCGCAGGCGGUUUUGUAAGUCUGACGUGAAAUCCCCGGGCUUAACCUGGGAAUUGCGUUGGAGACUGCAAGGCUAGAAUCUGGCAGAGGGGGGUAGAAUUCCACGUGUAGCAGUGAAAUGCGUAGAGAUGUGGAGGAACACCAAUGGCGAAGGCAGCCUUCUGGGCCAACACUGACGCUCAUGCACGAAAGCGUGGGGAGCAAACAGG
rnacentral:rRNA from 1 species